CAGCAUCAGCAACAAACAAUUCCACGUUACAAAUGAAGCCAUCGCUUGAUAAAAAAAAAUAUGAAGCCAUCGCUCCAUCUUGAAGCCCGGCCGGUUUAGUGUCUGAGGCCCGGCCUGUUUAGUGUCUGAGGCCCGGCCUGUUUAGUGUCGAGGCCCACAGCCCACCCACCAGUGAUCUAGUCUACCACCACUUUCCUUGUCGGCGUCGUUGGCGGCGACAGGAACAAAAUGGGGCGGCGCAGCACGGUUGCUCUCGCGACGGCAGCGGCGGCGGCGCUGCUGGUGUCGCUGCCGUUGCUGCUGGUGUUGCCGCCGGACGCGGACACGUACGAGCAGGAGAGCCGCCAGAUGUUCGUGGAGUGGAAGGCCAGGCACAAGAAGACCUAUAAAUACGCCGGCGAAGAUGAGUGCCGGUACGCUAAUUUCAAGGAGAGCCGCUGCCGCAUCGCCUGGAAAAGGGCCGACGGGGAUACCACAUCUGGCCUCAACGGUCUCGCCGCCCGCUCCAUGGAGGAGAUCUACCGCGGGUACAGGGUCCAGAAGGGGGAGGCGACGUACGAGCAGGAGACCCGCCGGAUGUUCGUGGGGUGGAAGGCCAAGUACGGCAAGACCUACAGAGACGUCGGUGAGGAGGAAUGCCGGUACAGGUUGUUCAAGGGCAACCGCCGCGUCGUCGUCCGGCUCAACGACGCCGCCGCCGGGCAAAUCGUGUACGCCAUCAACCAAUUCGGUGACCUUACCAACGAGGAGGUCCGCGAAAGCUGCUACCCAGAGAUGGUGGACCAAGAGCUGAGCGCCAGGUGCCAAGCCAUCGCCCCUGAUCCGGACCCUGACCAUGGGAGGCGGAUUUGGUACCAGCUUCUUUUGGUAUCCAUAUGAACACAAGCGGGGGUAUGCCUUCUGCCUGCAGAUCAUGUGAGACCAAACGCAUAUUUCAACGGUGUACCAGUUUGUAAUGGCUUCGUAUGUGUGAGAUUUUGAGUAGUGCCUUGAUCGGUAGACAAGGGAACAAUUUCCAGAACUAAUAACCACAAGUAUGUGAAGAUUUUUGUUAACCUCUCUUUGGAUACGAUUUGAUUAACCUAGCAGUUCAAUUUGUAUUAUUUACUACUAGUAUAUGGUAACUGGGAAUUCCUACAUGGUUUUACCCAAAGUUGUAUAAUUGUGGGAUUCUGUUACCGACUGGAGUACAGCAUGUAAGAGAAUCAAGGGUUUAGUUUCUCUAAUGGAUGGAUGAUCUCACCAUCUACUGUGAUUUACAUGAUGCUAAAUAGCCUCUUGGUCUUGGAAACAUGUUUGCCAGUGCAUUGCUAUGGAACUAAAACAAACAGAGCCUGGAGGUAGCGCUGUUCCAGGAGAUGAAGCACACAUGUGGAUCUGAAGGUCACUUGUGUUUGUUGUCGGAGAAUUUUAGAAUAAAAAUGUUGCUAAUGUAUUAUGAUAAAGUUGAGAUGAAAUUGUAUGCAUUUCCAACCUAUGAUAAAGAUUGUUUCUCAUGGGUGUUUUCGGCUAUUUGCUAUGUCGAACUGGUGGGCUUCCUAGGACAGCCGUUUCAUCGUUGAUGACUCUUGGAAAGGCCUCUCCUACAAUUGUAAAUAUUUCAUGGACCUGUUUGAAAGAAUUCUUGUCUAAUUUAAUUUGUGAACUUUUUUUUU